rnacentral:rRNA from 1 species
GCCCAGCCGUAAACUUUAACUUACAUUCAAAUCGCCAGGGAACUACGAGCUAAGCUUAAAACCCAAAGGACUUGACGGUACCCCAUAUCCCCCUAGAGGAGCCUGUUCUAUAAUCGAUAAUCCACGUUUAACCUCACCAUUUUUAGUUAAUCAGCCUGUAUACCUCCGUCGUCAGCUUACCACGUGAGCGCCAAUUAGUGAGCUUAAUGUCUUUCACCAACACGUCAGGUCAAGGUGCAGCAAAUGAAAUGGGAAGAGAUGGGCUACACUUUCUAUAUUAGAAAAAACGAAAAACUACUUAUGAAAACUAGUUGGAAGGCGGAUUUAGCAGUAAAAAGGAAUCAGAAUGUCCCUUUUAACCCGGCACUGGGGUGUGUACACACCGCCCGUCACCCUCUUCAAAGCUUAUAACCUAGUUCUUAACAAACUAAAGCAUAACAGAAUAGGCAAGUCGUAACAUGGUAAGUAUACCGGAAGGUGUGCUUGGAAA